CCUAACACAUGCAAGUCGAACGGCAGCAUAGGAGCUUGCUCCUGAUGGCGAGUGGCGAACGGGUGAGUAAUAUAUCGGAACGUGCCCUAGAGUGGGGGAUAACUAGUCGAAAGACUAGCUAAUACCGCAUACGAUCUACGGAUGAAAGUGGGGGAUCGCAAGACCUCAUGCUCCUGGAGCGGCCGAUAUCUGAUUAGCUAGUUGGUGGGGUAAAAGCCUACCAAGGCGACGAUCAGUAGCUGGUCUGAGAGGACGACCAGCCACACUGGGACUGAGACACGGCCCAGACUCCUACGGGAGGCAGCAGUGGGGAAUUUUGGACAAUGGGGGCAACCCUGAUCCAGCAAUGCCGCGUGAGUGAAGAAGGCC
rnacentral:rRNA from 1 species